rnacentral:rRNA from 1 species
GACGAACGCUGGCGGCGUGCCUAAUACAUGCAAGUCGAGCGGACUGAAUUGGAGCUUGCUCCAAUGACGUUAGCGGCGGACGGGUGAGUAACACGUUGGUAACCUGCCCUACAGUCUGGGAUAACUUCGGGAAACCGAGGCUAAUACCGGAUAAUACUUUUUAACACAUGUUAAAAAGUUGAAAGAUGGUUUUGCUAUCACUGUAGGAUGGACCCGCGGCGCAUUAGCUAGUUGGUGAGGUAACGGCUCACCAAGGCAACGAUGCGUAGCCGACCUGAGAGGGUGAUCGGCCACACUGGGACUGAGACACGGCCCAGACUCCUACGGGAGGCAGCAGUAGGGAAUCUUCCACAAUGGGCGAAAGCCUGAUGGAGCAACGCCGCGUGAGUGAAGAAGGAUUUCGGUUCGUAAAACUCUGUUGCAAGGGAAGAACAAGUAGCGUAGUAACUGGCGCUACCUUGACGGUACCUUGUUAGAAAGCCACGGCUAACUACGUGCCAGCAGCCGCCGUAACAC